rnacentral:rRNA from 1 species
UACGAAGGGGGCUAGCGUUGCUCGGAAUCACUGGGCGUAAAGGGUGCGUAGGCGGGUUUUUAAGUGAGUUGUGAAAUCCUGGAGCUCAACUCCAGAACUGCCUUUGAUACUGAGGAUCUUGAGUUCGGGAGAGGUGAGUGGAACUGCGAGUGUAGAGGUGAAAUUCGUAGAUAUUCGCAAGAACACCAGUGGCGAAGGCGGCUCACUGGCCCGAUACUGACGCUGAGGCACGAAAGCGUGGGGAGCAAACAGG